ACGACCUUACUUGAACAGGAUCUGUUCUAUAGGUUCGUACCUCUGGUUGCUCAAAAAAAAAAAAAAAAAAGAACUCU
rnacentral:snoRNA from 1 species